rnacentral:rRNA from 1 species
AGUUGGGAAUCUUGGACAAUGGGGGAAACCAUGAUCCAGCCAUGGCGCGUGAGUGAUGAAGGCCUUCGGGUUGUAAAGCUCUUUUACCCGGGAAGAUAAUGACUGUACCGGGAGAAUAAGCUCCGGCUAACUUCGUGCCAGCAGCCGCGGUAAUACGAAGGGGGCUAGCGUUGUUCGGAAUUACUGGGCGUAAAGCGCGCGCAGGCGGUUUCUCAAGUCAGUGGUGAAAGCCCGGAGCUCAACUCCGGAACUGCCAUUGAAACUGUGAAACUUGAGGACGAGAGAGGUGAGUGGAAUUCCCAGUGUAGAGGUGAAAUUCGUAGAUAUUGGGAAGAACACCGGUGGCGAAGGCGGCUCACUGGCUCGUUUCUGACGCUCAGGCGCGACAGCGUGGGGAUCAAACAGGAUUAGAUACCCUGGUAGUCCACGCCGUAAACGAUGAACGCUAGCCGUUGGGUAGCUUGCUAUUCAGUGGCGCAGCUAACGCAUUAAGCGUUCCGCCUGGGGAGUACGGCCGCAAGGUUGAAACUCAAAGGAAUUGACG